UUAUCACAAGCUGCAUUUCAAUGCCACGAAACAAGGAUGGCUAAAUGAAAAUUCACGUAUUGAAUAUGAAAACAUCAUUGCACAUAAGCAUGCAGCCUUGGAUGAAUUAAAUUCUAAAGGAAUAACAAUUACCACUACUAUGGAGCAUCAACUUGAGAAAGAAGCCAUAAAAAGUGUUUGUGGUAGGAAGAAAACAAUACAAUC
rnacentral:lncRNA from 1 species